rnacentral:rRNA from 1 species
AUUGAACGCUGGCGGCAUGCUUUACACAUGCAAGUCGAACGGCAGCACGGACUUCGGUCUGGUGGCGAGUGGCGAACGGGUGAGUAAUACAUCGGAACGUACCCAGUAAUGGGGGAUAACUAUCCGAAAGGAUAGCUAAUACCGCAUACGCCCUACGGGGGAAAGAGGGGGAUCGCAAGACCUCUUGUUAUUGGAGCGGCCGAUGGCUGAUUAGCUAGUUGGUGAGGUAAAGGCUCACCAAGGCGACGAUCAGUAGCGGGUCUUAGAGGACGAUCCGCCACACUGGAACUGAGAAACGGUCCAGACUCCUACGGGAGGCAGCAGUGGGGAAUCUUGGACAAUGGGCGCAAGCCUGAUCCAGCAAUGCCGCGUGCGUGAAGAAGGCCUUCGGGUUGUAAAGCGCUUUUGUCAGGGAGCAAAUCCUUGUGGCUAAUACCCACCGGGGAUGAGAGAACCUGAAGAAUAAGGACCGGCUAACUACGUGCCAGCCGCCGCGGUAA